UACGUAGGGUGCAAGCGUUAUCCGGAAUUAUUGGGCGUAAAGAGCUCGUAGGCGGUUUGUCGCGUCUGCCUGUGAAAACUGGAGGCUCAACCUCCAGCCUGCAGUGGGUACGGGCAAACUAGAGUGCGGUAGGGGAGAUUGGAAUUCCUGGUGUAGCGGUGGAAUGCGCAGAUAUCAGGAAGAACACCCGUGGCGAAGGCGGCUCUCUGGGACGGUACUGACGCUGAGGCGCGAAAGCGUGGGGAGCGAACAGG
rnacentral:rRNA from 1 species